GCAUACUCUGACACAGUCAUAUCACUCUGGACUAGGUGUGCAAACUUUAUUUUCUUCAGAUAUCGGAGGUGCUUUGGGAUGUACUAUGCAUUAAAGGUUGUCAUCAUGAAUUGUUCUCAAGUGAUUGGAAUGAGCAGGGUCGCCUAUUUUAGUUGCCACUAGCGACCUGCCUCUCCCAUAAGCAUGUAGGUGGCAAGUACAACUUUCUGUUCAGGAACCACCCUAAGAGUCGUAAAAGCCUUCUCUGUCUCAGCUAAUCAGUACUCAGCCUCUUCAAUGGAGGAUGCCCCUAUAAAAGUAAAUGAAUUUAGUAUUUUGUACAUCUCAAUAUAACUUGAGUCC
rnacentral:lncRNA from 1 species